rnacentral:miRNA from 1 species
GGCCGGGGGAAGGAGGAGGGUCUGUCGGUGGGGACCGCGUGUCGGGGGUGGCCGAGCCAACGAUGUCUUCUUUCCCAG